rnacentral:misc_RNA from 1 species
AAGUCGUAACAAGGUUUCCGUAGGUGAACCUGCGGAAGGAUCAUUAACACGUAUCCAACGUUAAACCCCCCGUGAACUUUUAUUGCGAACCACGCCUUUGUUAGAAAGUAGCAAUCCCUGGUAAAUCAUCGCCGAACAGUUUUGAUUCAGGGAUCUCUGCGAAGAGAGCGGUUGUAGCGCGAGGUAAGUGGCCUGGCAUGCCUCUGUCACUAGCUCUGUACGAAUGGCGCAGUCACGAUCGCUAGAGGCCGACACGGCCGGCGACCGGGUCACCGGGCAUAGACCCCCCUAUCACCUUUGCAUGAACGGGCCUACCAAACUCGAACAACUGUUAACAAUGGAUAUCUUGGUUCUC